rnacentral:rRNA from 1 species
UACGGAGGGUGCAAGCGUUAUCCGGACUCACUGGGUUUAAAGGGUGCGUAGGUGGGCAGGUAAGUCAGUGGUGAAAUCUCCGGGCUUAACUCGGAAACUGCCAUUGAUACUAUCUGUCUUGAAUACCGUGGAGGUCAGCGGAAUAUGUCAUGUAGCGGUGAAAUGCUUAGAUAUGACAUAGAACACCAAUUGCGAAGGCAGCUGGCUACACGAAUAUUGACACUGAUGCACGAAAGCGUGGGGAUCAAACAGG